GUGCCGUGGUGUAAGGCGAACAUAACUGCCCGGAAAGCAGGAGAUGCGGGUUCGAGUCCCGCCUGGUGCA
rnacentral:tRNA from 1 species